UGUGAUGAUACAAAGCAUUUCACGUGGUGU
rnacentral:piRNA from 1 species